AACGCUGGCGGCGUGCCUAAUACAUGCAAGUCGAACGGUCUUUCUAUGGAAGCUUGCUUCCACUGAGAAGAUAGUGGCGAACGGGUGAGUAACACGUGGGUAACCUGCCCAUAAGAGGGGGAUAACAUCCGGAAACGGGUGCUAAUACCGCAUAGUCUUCUUGAUCGCAUGAUCGGGAAAGGAAAGACGGCCUUUGUGCUGUCGCUUAUGGAUGGACCCGCGGCGUAUUAGUUAGUUGGUGAGGUAACGGCUCACCAAGACGAUGAUACGUAGCCGACCUGAGAGGGUGAUCGGCCACAUUGGGACUGAGACACGGCCCAAACUCCUACGGGAGGCAGCAGUAGGGAAUCUUCCGCAAUGGGCGAAAGCCUGACGGAGCGAACCGCCGCGUGAACGAAGAAGGCCGUGAGGUUGUAAAGUUCUUUUCGGGAGGGGGAACAACCGUGGCAGGGAAUGGCCGCGGGAUGACGUGAAUCCCGGAAUAAGCCCCGGCUAACUACGUGCCAGCCGCAGC
rnacentral:rRNA from 1 species